rnacentral:rRNA from 1 species
UUAAGUGAAUAAGGGCGCACGGUGGAUGCCUUGGCACUAGGAGCCGAUGAAGGACGGGACUAACACCGAUAUGCUUCGGGGAGCUGUAAGUAAGCUUUGAUCCGGAGAUUUCCGAAUGGGGGAACCCAGCAUCUUUUAUAGGAUGUUACUUUUCAGUGAAUACAUAGCUGAUUAGAGGUAGACGCAGAGAACUGAAACAUCUUAGUACCUGCAGGAAGAGAAAGAAAAUUCGAUUCCCUGAGUAGCGGCGAGCGAAACGGGAAAAGCCCAAACCAAGAGGCUUGCCUCUUGGGGUUGUAGGACUCCGAUAUGGUAGUCCAGUGAGAUAGUCGAAGGACCUGGAAAGGUCUGCUAGAAAGGGUAAAAGCCCCGUAGACAAAAUUUGACUGGCACCUAGGAGGAUCCUGAGUACGGCGGAACACGAGGAAUUCCGUCGGAAUCCGGGAGGACCAUCUCCCAAGGCUAAAUACUCCCUAGUGACCGAUAGUGAACCAGUACCGUGAGGGAAAGGUGAAAAGCACCCCGGAAGGGGAGUGAAAUAGAUCCUGAAACCGUGUGCCUACAACAAGUUAGAGCCCGUUAAUGGGUGAUAGCGUGCCUUUUGUAGAAUGAACCGGCGAGUUACGAUUACUUGCGAGGUUAAGUUGAAAAGACGGAGCCGCAGCGAAAGCGAGUCUGAAUAGGGCGAAUGAGUAAGUGGUCGUAGACCCGAAACCAUGUGAUCUACCCAUGUCCAGGUUGAAGGUGCGGUAAAACGCACUGGAGGACCGAACCCACGUACGUUGAAAAGUGCGGGGAUGAGGUGUGGGUAGCGGAGAAAUUCCAAACGAACUUGGAGAUAGCUGGUUCUCUCCGAAAUAGCUUUAGGGCUAGCCUCAGAGUAAGAAUGAUGGAGGUAGAGCACUGUUUGGACUAGGGGCCCAUCUCGGGUUACCGAAUUCAGAUAAACUCCGAAUGCCAUCCAUUCAUCUCUGGGAGUCAGACUGUGAGUGAUAAGAUCCAUAGUCGAAAGGGAAACAGCCCAGACCACCAGCUAAGGUCCCCAAAUAACUAUUAAGUGGAAAAGGAUGUGGGGUUGCACAGACAACUAGGAUGUUGGCUUAGAAGCAGCCACCAUUUAAAGAGUGCGUAAUAGCUCACUAGUCGAGUGACCCUGCGCCGAAAAUGUACCGGGGCUAAAUAGUUUACCGAAGCUGUGGAACACACCAAUAGGUGUGUUGGUAGGAGAGCGUUCUAAGGGCGUUGAAGGUAGAUCGUGAGGACUGCUGGAGCGCUUAGAAGUGAGAAUGCCGGUAUGAGUAGCGAAAGACAGGUGAGAAUCCUGUCCACCGAAUGACUAAGGUUUCCUGGGGAAGGCUCGUCCGCCCAGGGUUAGUCGGGACCUAAGCCGAGGCCGAUAGGCGUAGGCGAUGGAUAACAGGUUGAUAUUCCUGUACCCGUUGUUUUUGUUUGAGCAAUGGAGGGACGCAGGAGGCUAAGGAAUCAGACGAUUGGAAAUGUCUGUCCAAGCAAUAAGUCUUGAUGUGAGUCAAAUGCUUACGUCUUUAAGGACAAGUUGUGAUGGGGAGGGAAAUAAUAGUACCGAAGUUCCUGAUGUCACACUGCCGAGAAAAGCUUCUAGUGAGAAAACAAUGGCCCGUACCGCAAACCGACACAGGUAGUCGAGGAGAGAAUCCUAAGGUGAGCGAGAGAACUCUCGUUAAGGAACUCGGCAAAAUGACCCCGUAACUUCGGGAGAAGGGGUGCUGAUCUAACGAUCAGCCGCAGUGAAUAGGCCCAAGCGACUGUUUAUCAAAAACACAGGUCUCUGCAAAAUCGAAAGAUGACGUAUAGGGGCUGACGCCUGCCCGGUGCUGGAAGGUUAAGAGGAGUGCUUAGCGUAAGCGAAGGUACGAAUUGAAGCCCCAGUAAACGGCGGCCGUAACUAUAACGGUCCUAAGGUAGCGAAAUUCCUUGUCGGGU